rnacentral:rRNA from 1 species
AUUGCCCUAGUAACGGCGAGUGAAGCGGCAAUAGCUCAAAUUUGAAAUCUGGCUCUUUCAGAGUCCGAGUUGUAAUUUGCAGAGGGCGCUUUGGCGUUGGCAGCGGUCUAAGUUCUUUGGAACAGGACGUCACAGAGGGUGAGAAUCCCGUACGUGGUCGCUAGCCUUCGCCGUGUAAAGCCCCUUCGACGAGUCGAGUUGUUUGGGAAUGCAGCUCUAAAUGGGAGGUAAAUUUCUUCUAAAGCUAAAUACUGGCCAGAGACCGAUAGCGCACAAGUAGAGUGAUCGAAAGAUGAAAAGCACUUUGGAAAGAGAGUCAAAUAGCACGUGAAAUUGUUGAAAGGGAAGCGCUUGCAGCCAGACUUGCCUGUAGUUGCUUAUCUAGACUUUUGUCUAGUGCACUCUUCUAUAGGCAGGCCAGCAUCAGUUUGGGCGGUUGGAUAAAGGUCUCUGUCAUGUACCUCCUUUCGGGGAGGCCUUAUAGGGGAGACGACAUGCAACCAGCCUGGACUGAGGUCCGCGCAUCUGCUAGGAUGCUGGCGUAAUGGCUGUAAGCGGCCCGUCUUGAAACACGGACCAAGGAGUCUAACAUCUAUGCGAGUGUUUGGGUGUCAAGCCCAGACGCGUAAUGAAAGUGAACGGAGGUGGGAAACCCUUUGGGUGCACCAUCGACCGAUCCUGAUGUCUUCGGGAUGGAUUUGAAGUAAGAAGCAUGGCUGUUGGGGACCCGAAAGAAUGGUUGAACUAUGCUUUGAAUAGGGUGAAAGCCAGAAGGAAACCUCUGGGUGGAAGGCUCGCCAGCGGUUUCUGAACGUUGCAAAAUCGAAUCGUCCAAAUUUGGGGCCAUAGGGGG